GAAUCAGCUGAUCCCGCGGACCCACUGGGUUGCCAAGCUCGCGCCGGAUGCGGAGCGCGGUGCUGCCGGUGGAGCUUCAGGUCUUGAUAGACUUUCUGUAAAGAAGGAAUGAUUUGGUGAUGGAGUGUUCCCACUGACCGAUGGACUCAAAGAAGAGAAGCUCAACAGAGGCAGAAGGAUCCAAGGAAAGAGGCCUGGUCCAUAUCUGGCAGGCAGGAUCCUUUCCCAUAACACCAGAGAGAUUGCCAGGCUGGGGAGGAAAGACUGUUUUGCAGGCAGCCCUCGGAGUGAAACAUGGAGUUCUUCUGACUGAAGGCAUGAAUAGCAAUUCACAAUGCAUAUUAUAAAAUCUAUGGUGAGGUCUACAGCUUUGGGACUCUUCCCUGGAGAAGUGGACCAGUGGAGAUUUGUCCAAGUAGCCCCAUUCUAGAAAAUGCCCUGGUUGGGCAAUAUGUUAUUACUGUGGCAACAGGAAGCUUCCAUAGUGGAGCAGUGACAGACAAUGGUGUCGCGUACAUGUGGGGAGAGAAUUCUGCUGGCCAGUGUGCAGUAGCCAACCAGCAGUAUGUGCCGGAACCAAAUCCUGUCAGCAUUGCUGAUUCUGAGGCCAGCCCUUUGUUAGCAGUCAGGAUUUUACAGUUGGCGUGUGGCGAGGAGCACACUCUGGCAUUGUCAAUAAGCAGAGAGAUUUGGGCAUGGGGUACCGGUUGUCAGUUGGGUCUCAUUACCACUGCCUUCCCAGUGACAAAGCCGCAAAAGGUAGAACAU
rnacentral:lncRNA from 1 species